rnacentral:rRNA from 1 species
UACGAAGGGGGCAAGCGUUGUUCGGAAUUAUUGGGCGUAAAGGGCGCGUAGGCGGCUUGGCAAGUGGAAGGUGAAAUCCCUCGGCUUAACCGAGGAACUGCCCUCCAAACUGCUUCGCUUGAGACCGGGAGAGGUGAGUGGAAUUCCCAGUGUAGCGGUGAAAUGCGUAGAUAUUGGGAGGAACACCAGUGGCGAAGGCGGCUCACUGGACCGGUACUGACGCUCAUGUGCGAAAGCGUGGGGAGCAAACAGG